AUGAGAAGAUGAGAAUAAAUCGAGGCUUUGAUAACAUUAUCUUCGUGUACACCCGAGAAAUGUAGCUACGUCUAGGAUAUUAAAGAAAUGUUAUAAUGUUCUUCCUAUAUGAAUAUGCAUACAAAGAAGAAGAAAACUGUAAACUCAUAUAUAUAUAAGAAGUAAAAACUCUUAGAUAUCAAACGUUUAAUGUGAAAAGCAUAUAGUGUAGUCACUAUCUAGUUUUAAUUUUAAUGUGCAAUGGAAUUAUAUGUAAUUUAUCUACUCAAAUGAGGUUCUUUAAUUUUUUUAAAAACAAAAGUGUUAAAAGAGCUUUCAUGAUGACACAUAAGUAAUGGCAAUUGUGUUAAUCACAUGAAGAUAAGGUUAAUAAAUAAAAGUACUCCUCAAAAAUAAAAAGAUGAUGUGUUUACCUCUAAUAAAAAUCACAUUCCCCAUUGUAUAAUUAGUUGGUAACAAAAGUUCCAAAUAUGAGCCAUAAAAGAAGAGUAACUGAGAGAGAAAAAAAUUAAAGUAUUUUUAAAAUCCUUCCAAUUGGUGAAAAGACAUACUUAUUUUACUUUUGGUUUAAAAAUAAAGUCCAUUAAAUUCCAAAAUAACUGAAUUCUAACAAAUCAGUUGGAUAUUGAAUAACAGUGGAUUUUAAUUCAUCACAAUACUAAAAGCCACAUAUACUGAAUUUCUAGGUUGCCACAUUAACAAAAAUAAUCAACCAAUCAUAACAUUUUAUUUUUGAGUCUGGGCUUAAGGUGUGUUUAAAGUAGAUUAGGUGUGUGGGCUUUGUUUGUUUAGGUUUGGACUUCAUUUUUUAUUGAACUAAACCUAGAAACUAAUCUACGACGCAGAGAUGCCGAGACUCUUCUCCUCUACCACUUCGUCUUCUCCCCAGUGAAACAAUUUCGACUGAGUUCUAAUCCAUCCAUCAAUACUCUACAAUCAAUUACAUCUCCUUCUUUUACUCCUUCUUCUUACUUACGUGGUCUGUCAAACUCAGAGCAGGAACCAUCAACACAGCCAAUAUCAAAGCUUGAGUUUGAUUUUGAGAGAAAGAAGUUGAACAAAGAUGAUGUCAGAGAAUUAAUCUACCGAGAGAUAUUCCUCAGAUGCUGGAGGAAUACAAGCACGAUGGUGAUCAGCUUAGCUUCAUGUACCCUAGUGGGGUUGAUCGAUUCAAGAGGCAGUUUGCUCACCUUGAAGAGAAUCAAGGUAAACCAGGGGCAGGAGCAGGAGGAGGAGGAAGUACUGCAAUGCAUAGACACCAUGCUUCCUUGCCAAGAGAGAGAGUUCCUGCUCAGAGUGGUCAACAGCUGCUGUGGCUUCAACUUUGGAAUCUGAGGAACCAGACAAUGGAAGAGGUUACAGUGCUUGUAGCCUCAUGAAGAGUUCGAGCAUCAGCGGUUCUAAAUGCAUUGGUGUCCAAUCUAAAACCGACAAAGAGGACACCAUAGCUGAGGAAGGAGAUGGUGAAUCAGUGGCGGAGCUUACUGAAAGAGUAGCUUCUCUAUGUGAUUCUUAGAACGUUUUUUUUUUUUGGCGUUUGGUGAAAGUUUUCUGGUGAAAACACCCACCGUGUUGCUGGUCAUGGCCGUUAACGCAAAGACUCUCAGAGGGACCUGAGAAGGAUAUCAGAUUUUGGGAAAAAUUGACAGUGAGAUGAGACCAGGAUUAAGAUGGGAACAAAUACAAGACUAGAAUGGACCGGUGAAUUUUUGAAAUAUUUUAAAGUAAGCCCACACGUUAUAAAGAAGUGUUAGUAUUUUAGGUUUUUGUGAACCUUCGGGUUUAUACAAUAAAUACAAACACUUCGUCAUCAUUGUAAAAGUGUACACUUGAUGAUUAUAAUAUUUUUUCCCUUAAAAUUGUACACUUCUCUGAUGUCUUAAUAAGUGAUAUUGGUUAUGAACACUACAAGCAGCCUUCUCUUUUUUUUUUCGGUAAAAACAAGCAGUUUUCUCUUAUCAAGGAGAAAUCACCUAAUUAUUGAGUUAGUAAUGAAAAUGUAUGUUUUCUACGUGAUAUUCCGCUUUGUAUAGUAUCUAUGUUUUUCAAUCAAUUCCCAAUUGUCUUUUUAAACUACCGUAAGAAGAUUAGAUGAUCAAAAAUGUUGGGUUAUGUAUAUAUUGUGGCACACUAAUUUCCAUAACAAUUAAGAUUAGCGAUAAGUUUUUGGCAAUAAGUUUUUGCUGACCUUUGUAUCUGCAAUACUUCCAAAAAAUAUAGUAAAUUUACCAAACUAUAUCAGUGUAUGUAUCUUCCAAAUCAAAACAAAAAUUGCAUUGAUUAAAUAUUAUUCAAAACAUUUAAAACAAAAAGAUUUAAACAUUUUUUUAAAAAAAAGGUCCACAGAAAUACAAAACAAUAUUCUUUAAGACGGCGGAAAAUGUCUCAAGGUGGAUUAAGAAACAAACUACUAUAUUUGAUAUAUUAUAUUCAACUUAAUUUUUGUUUAUCAUAUCAAAACUUUUGACAAUUUAAAAAAUCUAAUAUAACAUGUCUACAUUUCUAUGUUUAGUAACAUAUAGGGAUAACUUUAACCUUUUAACAUAUAUCCUAAUCAUAUUAUUGCAAUCUCUAUCGUAAAUUACAUAUACAAGAAAAAUAAUUUUAAGAAAUAUACAGGAAACAUGAGAUAUGACCUGAUUUAACUUAUUGAAGCUGUAUUUAUACAUAUAUACUUGACAAUACUUUGGUGUUACCAAAAAAUAUAAUUGUAACACUGCUUCACGUAAAUAAAUCUAAAAAGAAGAUGUUUAGGGGGUUUGUUAUAAUCUGGUGGUGUUUUCUGUUUGAAGGAGGAGCACAUGAUAUAAUUUAUAUUUGAAAUUCAAAAGGUAUAUAGAAUUUGAGAAUUAUCGUAGACAUAUUUUCUUACAUUUUUUUUUACAAUUUAUUUCUUCACAAGUGAUGCCAAGAAAAUUAUGUGUAGAUAAUUAGUGAAAGGUUCAUGUAUCUAAAUCUUAAACUCAUUUUUGGCUAUGAAGUUAGUUAGAUCUUUCACCACUCUAUGUUUUAGAUAACAAACAAAUACAAAGGCGCAAACUAAAUUGUUUCCAAGUUACCAUUAAACAAGUUUUGUAUUGAUAGACAUAUAAUUUUCUUUCGAUCCAUAAGAUCUGAGUAUUAUAAAAAUGUUAUAGAAAAUUAAUCCGGGCGUAGCCCGGAAAAGGCCCUAGUUUUUAUAAAUACACAAUUGAAUAAUGCUGGAUUUCAUUUGGGAAUUAAAAUAUAUCUAAUUAAAUAAUUCCAUUAAAAUACCAUGUUCAGUAACACCCACUUAAAAUCACUUUUUCUGUAUAGCUCAUUAGCAUUUCGUGCUUGAAUAAAAGCCUAACAAAUACUUGACUUUUCAGGAAGUUAAUGAAGCCCAUAUAGAUUUCAGUUUCAUCCUCACAAUUUGCUUAAUUAAAGCAAGCCCAUAUUAAUACAAUUUGGAUCUCAUCAUGAUUUGCUCUAUAAACGUUUGAACCAUCACUGAAAUCAAGAAAGAGUAUUCAUAACUGAUUUUCAGCAUGCCAUAUCCGUUGACCACUUAGACUACUAUAUUCAAUAGGUUAUAGUUUAACUAUUAUUACGGAAGCUCCGUAAUAAUUGGGUGGUUUUAUAGCUAAAUCCAAACUAUAUAUGAGAGUUUUGUUGGAGUGAAAAACUUUGUAGAGAUGGAGCAUCAUAGUCGAUUCCGGUUCUUUAACUAUAGCCUUUUGCCACCAAUCUUGCUUUGUACCUUUCAACUUUUUCUUUAAAAUUCUUCUUUGCCUUGUACACCCACUUCACACCGAUUGUUUUAUGUCCAUUUGGAAGUGAAGAUAACUCUCAUUUAUCAUUCUUUUGAAUCGACUUGAUUUCUUCAUCUAUUUCACUUUUCCAUGAUUUCUUUUCUUGAGCUUUUUAAAAGUUCCUCGCAAUCCGCAAAUAGAAAAAAUAGAGUAAGGUUGUCAUGAUUUUCGGUUACCUCGUAGAUGUCUUGUAGACUUCUAAAACGUGGAGUCAUUUCACUUGAACUUUCAUCUCCUCGAGAACUUGUUGGCGAAAUUGGUGGGGUAGCUGGCUCUUCUCUUGGUUGCUCCAAAUUAUCUUCUUCAAAAGACGGAAAGAAGUUUUAAUCUUCAUCAUUUGAUCUCCAAUCCCAUUCUCUUUCUUCAUCAAAGAUGAUAUUCCGACUAAUGAUUAUCUUCUUUGUUUCAGGAUUGUAGAGCUUGUAGCCUUUGGAGUUAGCGUCAUAUCCAAUAAAGAUGUACUCUCACUUUUAUCUUCUAUUUUUCUCCGCUUCUCAUCUAGAACAUGAGCGUGAGCAAUGCUUCCAAAAACUCUUAGGUGUGAGACACCGAGAUUCCCGUUCCAAGCUUCUUGUGGUGUCUUUCCCAAAACACUUUUAGUUGGAGAUCGGUUUGAUAUAUAAACCGCACACGCAACUGCUUCUGCCUAAAACUCCUUUGGUAUCUUCUUGCUCUUGAGUAUGUUUCUUGUCAUCUCAAGUAUUAUCCUAUUUUUUCUUUCCACCACUCCAUUUUGUUGAGGGAUUCUUAGCACCGCCAACUGUCUUCGAAUGCCAUUAUCUUCAUAAAUUCAUAAUACUUCAGAAACUCCUUAGACAUGAAUUCUCCUCCUAUGGACUUGAUCUUAAGACCACUUUUCUUCUCAACAUGGACUUUGAAUUUUUUGAAAAUUUCAAACACUUCUGAUUUUUCUUUCAAAAAGUAAACCCAUGUUUUUCUUGAAAAGUCAUCAAUAAAGAGAAUGAAGUAGUUAUUCAUACCAAAUGAACUUGGUUUGAUCGGGCCACAUACAUUUGUAUGUAUAAGUUCUAGUGCCUUUCUUGCUCUUAUCUCCGACUCCUUUGGAAAACUCAUCUUGAAUUUCUUUUCAAGUAUGCACCCUUCACACACUUGAUUUGGAUGGUUGAUGCAAGGUAAUCAUUUCACCAUUUAUUUCUUGGAAAGUAGAUCUAAGCCUCCAAAGUCGAGAUGCCCAAAUCGAAGAUGCCAAAGCCAAGUUCCUCCUUGUAGUACAUCUUGAGACAUCGUGCAAUGUCCUUUUGAAUGUUUAGGACAAACAUUAUAUUCCUUGAAAUUGACACCUUUUUGAUGAGAUUAUUUGCAUUAUAUCUUAAAGAACGUCUAUUAUCCUUUAGUCGAAUGUAAUAACCUUUCUUUAAAAAUUGUCCUAGGCUCAAGAUGUUGGUCUUCAUGCUUGGAAUGUUGUAAACGUUGGAAAUGAAUUGAUGAUCUCCAUUCUUCAAGCGGAUGAAAAUAUUUAUUUUACCUUUCACUUCCAUCUUCGAUUCAUUUCCCAAAGCCACAUUAGUUUUCAACGAUUCGUCGAGCUCCACGAACAUGCUUUUAUUCUCACACAUGUGGUUGCUUGCACCACUAUCAAGGUACCACUUGUGAACCUCAUUUGGUUCAUCAUUCUUGUAAGCCAUCAAUAGCAUAUCUUAUUCUUUACUCCUUUCUUCAACAUAGUUGGACUUGUCUUCAACUCUGUUGUUGUUUGGAGUUUUGCAUUCAGAAGCAUAAUGUCCAAACUUCCAGCAAUUAUAACAUUUGAUGCUUGAUUUAUCGUACCUUGAUUUUGGAUUUCCUCUUCCACGACCUCUUGAUGAGUUCUCUUCUCUUUGGUUAAAGUUUUCUUCAUAUGGUCUCCAACCUCGUCCAUUUACACCACGACCUCGUCCUCGGAAUUGACCGCCACCAUGUUUUGGAUUGCUUCGGCCACUUUCUUCCUUGUGAUCAAUUCUCAUCUUGAGAACUUUCUCUAUAAUAUAUUAUUUCUUCUUCUUCUUUUCUUCAUAUGCUUGUAGUGAUCCAAGAAGUUUCUCCAUCGUCAUAGUCCCAAGUCUUUUGUCUCUUCAAUCACGGUAACAAUGUGCUCAAAUUUUGAAUCCAAUGAUCUAAGAACGUUCUCCAUGAUUCUCACCUCAUCUAAUUUCUCACCAUUUCUCUUUAGGUUAUUAGUAAUCGUCAAGACUCUUGAGAAGUAAUCUGAGAUGAGCUCUCCUUCCUUCAUUUGUAACGCUUCAAAUUGUCCUCUUAGAAUUUAAAGACGUAUUUUCUUAACUUGUUCCGCUCCCUUGUAAGAUGUAUGAAGCUUCUCCCAUGCUUCUUUGGACGUCUUUCCUCCAGCAACCUUCUAAAAUGUAUCUUCAUCUAAUCCUUGAUAGAUUAGACAGAGAGCCUUCUUGUCUCUCUUCCUUGAAUCUCUUAAACCAUUUUUUUGUGUUUGAGAUAAACCACCAUCAUUCUCUGGUUCAACGAAGCCUUUCUCGACUAUGUCCCAUAGAUCAUGUGCUCCUAGGAUAGCCAUCAUCCUUAGACUCCAAUUGUCAUAGUUGCUCUUUGUAAGCAAUGGAACUUGGAAGGGAACACCAUUAUUUGCUAUCUUCAAAAGGAAUAUGUAGCUCUGAUACCACUUUGUUGAAAUGAAAAAAUUUGAAGAGAUGGAGAAAGUGUUUCAAGUGUUUGAAGAGAAAUAAACUUUGUGAAGAGAAAUUUUUUUAUAACUUAGAAGAAGAUUUCUAUUACUUGAAAGUUUCUUACAAACUUUAUAUUUUUUCUUGAUAAUCCAAAAUGAGAAGGGAGUGGAAGUAUUUAUAGCUUUCAUAGUAUAAAAUAUUUUAAAUAUUUUAAUCCUAAAUCUAGAUAAUUCUAGUAUAAUAUUUAGAUUAUUUUAUCCUAAUUAUCUAGAUAAUUCUAUAAGAAUAUCUAAAUUUUUAUUUUAUAGAGGCGGAUGAUUUCUCUAGAACUUGGACUAAGUUUUGGAUCAACACAUGAUUAGCCCAAUAAUAUUUGAUCCAAAUCAAGUUUAUUUUUCAACAAGUUUGUGGCGGUCUGUCAUGUAAAUUUUACAGUGACCAGUUAUGUGAUAUAUUCAGCUGAAAUGGUUGCAUGGCAAGUAGCAUUUCACCAACAAAGUACGUCUGGAUUAUUGUAACGUUUACGUUUUGAUAACAUACUUAUUAAUAUAGGUUUUACAAUUAACUUUUUUCUCAAAAGCAACGCAUAACGAAGAAGGAUGAUCAUGUCUACAUUGUUUUGUUUCUUCUUUUCUAUAGCAUAUUCUCUGCUCCU